UACGUAGGUGGCAAGCGUUGUCCGGAUUUAUUGGGUUUAAAGGGUGCGUAGGCGGCCCUGUAAGUCAGUGGUGAAAUACUCUAGCUUAACUAGAGGGGUGCCAAUGAUACUGCAGGGCUUGAGUACAGAUGAGGUAGGCGGAAUUGACGGUGUAGCGGUGAAAUGCAUAGAUAUCGUCAAGAACACCUAUAGCGAAGGCAGCUUACUGGGCUGUAACUGACGCUGAGGCACGAAAAGUGUGGGGAUCAAACAGG
rnacentral:rRNA from 1 species